rnacentral:lncRNA from 1 species
UAAAUUUUUACGUAUUAUAUUAUAAACAUGUAUUUCUUGAACAGCUAGAUCAUUCGAAAACUGUGUUUUUUUGUUAUUCUUAGUCGUAAAGAUCAAAUAAUGGCAACACAUUAGCAACGAUUGACAAAUUAUGCAGUCAGUUCUAGAAAACGGGGGCACAGGAGAGCCUAAUUGAGACACCUCCUACAUACAUAGAGAACAUUGCCAAAAUAAAUAAACAUGGUCUUUCCUAUGAGGUGUAGAGAAAUGUUGAAGAUUGCAUUUUACCUUAUCGCUCUGACAAGGUCGUGAAACGCAGCAUCAACGUUUGUUCUCGUUUUUGCACUUGCUUCAAUAUAUGGAAUCU